UGAUAAGUAUCCCACCUGGGGAGUACGUUCGCAAGAAUGAAACUCAAAGGAAUUGACGGGGGCCCGCACAAGCGGUGGAGCAUGUGGUUUAAAUCGAUGAUACGCGAGGAACCUUACCAGGGCUUAAAUGGGAGAUGACAGGGGCAGAGACGCCCUUUUCUUCGGACAUCUUUCAAGGUGCUGCAUGGUUGUCGUCAGCUCGUGCCGUGAGGUGUCAGGUUAAGUCCUAUAACGAGCGCAACCCCUACCGGUAGUUGCCAGCGAUUCAAGUCGGGGACUCUAACGGGACUGCCGGUGCAAACCGUGAGGAAGGUGGGGAUGACGUCAAAUCAUCACGGCCCUUACGUCCUGGGCUACACACGUGCUACAAUGGCCGGUACAGAGAGCAGCCACCACGCGAGUGGGAGCGAAUCUUCAAAGCCGGUCUCAGUUCGGAUCGCAGUCUGCAACUCGACUGCGUGAAGCUGGAAUCGCUAGUAAUCGCAUAUCAGCCAUGAUGCGGUGAAUACGUUCCCGGGCCUUGUACACACCGCCCGUCAAGCCAUGGAAGCUGGGGGUACCUGAAGUCGGUAACCGUAAGGAGCUGCCUAGGGUAAGACUGGUAACUAGGGAUAAGUCGUAGCAAGGUAGCC
rnacentral:rRNA from 1 species